UACAGAGGGGCAAGCGUUGUUCGGAAUUACUGGGCGUAAAGGGCGCGUAGGCGGCCUGUUAAGUCGAACGUGAAAUCCCCGGGCUCAACCCGGGAACUGCGUCCGAUACUGGCAGGCUUGAAUCCGGGAGAGGGAUGCAGAAUUCCAGGUGUAGCGGUGAAAUGCGUAGAUAUCUGGAGGAAUACCGGUGGCGAAGGCGGCAUCCUGGACCGGCAUUGACGCUGAGGAGCGAAAGCCAGGGGAGCAAAGCGGG
rnacentral:rRNA from 1 species